rnacentral:pre_miRNA from 1 species
UUCUUAUUGGAUUAUGACUGUCACGUGUUAUAUUUUGAUUAAAUGUCAACUUCAUGAAAGAUGAAAUACAUUGUUGUCGUCAUUGGUUAAUAAAAAAAUGAAUUGUGAAAGUUAUGAUUCAAUAAGAACGUGAUGCGUGACAGCCAACAUUC